GACAAGGUGGCCGAGUGGUCUAAGGCGAACGAUUUAAGCUUAGUCAUCAGGUCAUGUGACCAGUUGCAAUAUCUUGAUCUCGUUUGAGGAAACUCUCGUGGGUUCGAACCCCACCCUUGUCA